UGUCCUCCAUCGGAGGUCUAUAUUGAGCAGAUUCUUUUUGGUGUUGGGUGGUAGCACUGGAGCUUGCUCCAUCCACUCCAUGCAUUGACCUGGUAUUACAGUGCUUCCAGGACUGGUGC
rnacentral:snRNA from 1 species